rnacentral:rRNA from 1 species
UAACGAGGAUUCCCCUAGUAACUGCGAGUGAAGCGGGAAGAGCUCAAAUUUGUAAUCUGGCGGUCUCUGGCCGUCCGAGUUGUAAUCUGUAGAGGCGUCGUCCGCGUCGGCCCGUGUACAAGUCUCCUGGGAUGGAGCGUCAUAGAGGGUGAGAAUCCCGUCCAUGACACGGACCACCGAUGCUCUGUGAGGUGCCCUCGAAGAGUCGCGUUGUUUGGGAAUGCAGCGCAAAAUGGGUGGUAAAUUCCAUCUAAGGCUAAAUAUUGGCGAGAGACCGAUAGCGAACAAGUACCGUGAGGGAAAGAUGAAAAGCACUUUGGAAAGAGAGUUAAACAGUACGUGAAAUUGUUGAAAGGGAAACGCUUGAAGUCAGUCGUGUCCCGUGACAUUCAGCCUUGCUUCGGCUUGGUGUACUUGCCUUGGGAUGGGUCAACAUCAAUUUUGGCCGGUGGACAAGGGCGAGGGGAAUGUAGCGUCGUUUCGGCGACGUGUUAUAGCCUCUUGUCGAAUACACUGGUUGGGAUUGAGGACUGCAGCACGCCCUUGUGGCCGGGGGGUUCACCUCAUGUAACGUGCUUAGGAUGUUGGCAUAAUGGCUUUAAGCGACCCGUCUUGAAACACGGACCAAGGAGUCUAACAUGCUUGCGAGUGUUCGGGUGGAAAACCCUUGCGCAUAAUGAAAGUGAAAGUUGGGAGCCUCCGCAAGGGGGUGCACCGACGCCCGGCCCUGAUGUUCUCUGACGGUGCUGCGGUAGAGCAAGUAUGUUGGGACCCGAAAGAUGGUGAACUAUGCCUGAAUAGGGUGAAGCCAGAGGAAACUCUGGUGGAGGCUCGUAGCGAUUCUGACGUGCAAAUCGAUCGUCAAAUUUGGG